UACAGAGGUCCCAAGCGUUGUUCGGAUUCACUGGGCGUAAAGGGUGCGUAGGCGGUCGGGUAAGUCUGAUGUGAAAUCUCACAGCUUAACUGUGAAACUGCAUUGGAUACUAUCCGGCUCGAGGAAUGGAGGGGAGACUGGAAUACUUGGUGUAGCAGUGAAAUGCGUAGAUAUCAGGAGGAACACCUGUGGCGAAAGCGGCUCACUGGACCAUAACUGACGCUGAUGCACGAAAGCUAGGGGAGCAAACAGG
rnacentral:rRNA from 1 species